CCUACGGGCGGCAGCAGUGAGGAAUAUUGGUCAAUGGACGAGAGUCUGAACCAGCGAAGUAGCGUGAAGGAUGAAUGCCCUAUGGGUUGUAAGCUUCUUUUAUAAAGGAAUAAAACGAGGCACGUGUGCCUUUUUGCAUGUACUUUAUGAAUAAGGAUCGGCUAACUCCGUGCCAGCAGCCGCGGUAAUACGGAGGAUCCGAGCGUUAUCCGGAUUUAUUGGGUUUAAAGGUAGCGUAGAUGGGUUGUUAAGUCAGUUGUGAAAGUUUGCGGCUCAACCGUAAUAUUGCAAGUGAUACUGGCAGUCUUGAGUACAGUUGAGGUAGGCGUAAUUCGUGGUGUAGCGGUGAAAUGCUUAGAUAUCACGAAGAACCCCGAUUGCGAAGGCAGCAUACUAACCUGUGACUGACAUUGAUGCUCGAAAGUGUGGGUAUCAAACAGGAUUAGAUACCCCAGUAGUC
rnacentral:rRNA from 1 species